UCCCAGUUUGUUUGCGGCCGGCGCCCAC
rnacentral:sRNA from 1 species